CUCCGGUUGAUCCUGCCGGACCCGACUGCUAUCAGAGUGGGACUAAGCCAUGCGAGUCAACAUAGCAAUAUGUGGCAUACGGCUCAGUAACACGUAGUCAACAUGCCCAGGGGACGUGGAUAACCUCGGGAAACUGAGGAUAAACCGCGAUAGGUCAUCACUUCUGGAAUGGGUAAUGACUUAAAUCUAUAUGGCCCCUGGAUUGGACUGCGGCCGAUCAGGCUGUUGGUGAGGUAAUGGCCCACCAAACCUGUAACCGGUACGGGCUCUGAGAGGAGGAGCCCGGAGAUGGGCACUGAGACAAGGGCCCAGGCCCUAUGGGGCGCAGCAGGCGCGAAACCUCUGCAAUAGGCGAAAGCUUGACAGGGUUACUCUGAGUGAUUUCCGUUAAGGAGAUCUUUUGGCACCUCUAAAAAUGGUGCAGAAUAAGGGGUGGGCAAGUCUGGUGUCAGCCGCCGCGGUAAUACCAGCACCCCGAGUGGUCGGGACGUUUAUUGGGCCUAAAGCAUCCGUAGCCGGUUCUACAAGUCUUCCGUUAAAUCCACCUGCUUAACAGAUGGGCUGCGGAAGAUACUAUAGAGCUAGGAGGCGGGAGAGGCAAGCGGUACUCGAUGGGUAGGGGUAAAAUCCGUUGAUCCAUUGAAGACCACCAGUGGCGAAGGCGGCUUGCCAGAACGCGCUCGACGGUGAGGGAUGAAAGCUGGGGGAGCAAACCGGAUUAGAUACCCGGGUAGUCCCAGCUGUAAACGAUGCAGACUCGGUGAUGAGUUGGCUUAUUGCUAACUCAGUGCCGCAGGGAAGCCGUUAAGUUUGCCGCCUGGGGAGUACGGUCGCAAGACUGAAACUUAAAGGAAUUGGCGGGGGGCACA
rnacentral:rRNA from 1 species